rnacentral:rRNA from 1 species
CAGCCGCCGCGUUAAUACGUAGGGUGCGAGCUUUAAUCGGAUUUACUGGUCGUAAAGCGUGCGCAGGCGGCCCGUUAAGACAGGUGUGAAAUCCCUGGGCUCAACCUAGGAAUUGCGCUUGUGACUGGCGGGCUCGAGUACGGUAGAGGGGGGUGGAAUUCCUGGUGUAGCAGUGAAAUGCGUAGAGAUCAGGAGGAACACCGAUGGCGAAGGCAGCCCCCUGGGCCUGUACUGACGCUCAUGCACGAAAGCGUGGGGAGCAAACAGGAUUAGAUACCCUGGUAGUCCACGCCCUAAACGAUGGGUACUAGCCGUUUGGUGCGCGAUAGCGCUGAGUGGCGAAGCUAACGCGUGAAGUACCCCGCCUGGGGAGUACGGCCGCAAGGUUGAAACUUAAAGGAAUUGGCGGG